rnacentral:lncRNA from 1 species
GACGAGGAGGAGGAUGAAGGAUACGGCAUCAAGAGCAUAUCCAGCAGAGUGUCCCUGCCUUCCAAACCAGAACGCAGACCCUCUUUGCCCCCAGCCAAACAAGCCAACAAGAACCUGCUGAUGAGAGCUAUUUCUGAGUCCCAGGUCUCCAUCAACAAGACUCCAGCUGGCACCAAAUGGAUCAAAACGGACUGAAAUGUACCACAGAGACAAACGGUUCCCGUGGCUCCCAGGACCCGUUCAGCCAGAGAUGAGAUGAAAGCAGCCAUCCAGCAAGUUCAGGAGAACCUUCGCGGCCUGGGCCCCGAGGGACAGACUUUCAGGACCCCAGGCAGCUAGAUACAGAGGUGGUUCCCAUCAGGAACAGACUGGGACCGUUGGGGGAGGAGGUGGUUCCCAUCAGGAGCAGACUGGGACUGUUGGGAGAGGAGGUGGUUCCCAUCAGGAGCAGACUGGGACCGUUGGGGGAGGAGGUGGUUCCCAUCAGGAACAGACUGGGACCGUUGGGGGAGGAGGUGGUUCCCAUCAGGAGCAGACUGGGACCGUUGGGGGAGGAGGUGGUUCCCAUCAGGAACAGACUGGGACCGUUGGGGGAGGAG